AUGGUGAAGUACUCGAGGGAUCCGUCCAACCCGACCAAGUCGGCCAAGGCCUGUGGCAAGGAUCUCAGGGUCCACUUCAAGAACACACGCGAGACAGCGUUUGCUCUUCGCAGGAUGCCUUUGGGCAAGGCUAAGAGGUACCUUGAGGAUGUUCUCGCCCACAAGCAAGCGAUUCCCUUCCGGAGAUACUGCAGAGGUGUGGGUCGUACUGCGCAAGUAAAGAACCGCCAGCCAAAUGGGCAGGGUCGCUGGCCUGCAAAGUCGGCCCAGUUCGUGUUGGAUUUGCUGAAGAAUGCUGAGAGUAACGCUGAGGUUAAAGGCUUGGACGUCGACAACCUCUACAUUUCACACAUCCAGGUGAACCAAGCCCAAAAGCAGAGGCGCCGUACAUACCGUGCUCACGGACGCAUCAAUCCUUACAUGUCCAACCCCUGCCACAUUGAGCUGAUCUUGUCAGAGAAGGAAGAGCCUGUGAAGAAGGAGGCUGAUAACGUCGUCGCACCAAGGAAAGCUAUCUAA
rnacentral:rRNA from 1 species